rnacentral:rRNA from 1 species
UACGUAGGGCGCAAGCGUUGUCCGGAAUUAUUGGGAGUAAAGAGCUCGUAGGCGGUCUGUCGCGUCUGCCGUGAAAACCCGAGGCUUAACCUCGGGCUGGCGGUGGAUACGGGCAGACUAGAGGUAGGUAGGGGAGAAUGGAAUUCCCGGUGUAGCGGUGAAAUGCGCAGAUAUCGGGAGGAACACCGGUGGCGAAGGCGGUUCUCUGGGCCUUACCUGACGCUGAGGAGCGAAAGCAUGGGGAGCGAACAGG